ensembl:lncRNA
ACCGGUGAGACUUGCAUCCUUCCCCGCUGCUGCAUCGUUUCACCGUUCCUCCAAAAAAAAUAGGCACCAAAAAAAACGAAAAGCAAGUCCAAUGCGUUUAUCUAGAGGCGGGCGGAAAACGACCAACAGAAAGCAAAAGAGCCGCGGAGAGGCUGGAAAUCCGUCCUGCAGUUUGUCAAGGCGGAGUGACAGUGCCGGGGUUCUCUAGUUGAGAGCUCCGACAGGCUCGCCGGCCGACUGUAAAAGUGAGGAGGAGAUGGAGGAGAGACGCGCGGAGGCGAUGAGAGCCUCCCCUUCACGGCGCUCAUUGGGUUGAUGAGGAGCCGGGUCAACAGGCGCACAAAUGAAUGCGUGCAGCUCUGCCCAGCCACCGACGCGCAAAGGUUGCCGUCUCCAAUCGCCAGUAACGCUGUAUAGCUGUAGCUGUUACAAAAGGUGUGUGCAGCGGAGCUGAGCAACGGCUGGUCCAGCAGGCUGCUGCUCAGGCUGGUGGAGGAGGUCUAUGCUUCGUUGCCGGAAGUCGUUCCACCAUGUCUUCCCACCCCUGGCUGUCUGUCCUGCUGCAGGAGUGGAAGGAUGAGGAGGACCUUGUGUUUCAAAAGCAGCAUACUAGGUAAGUGUGAAGGACUCUAACUUGCAUGCUUUGGCCGAAGUGAAGGUGUCAGAGUAGACAGGGGGCUGUUGAUGGUCCCUGUAUGAACACCAUGUGGACAAAUGGACAAGGGACCUCCAGUGGAGGACAGGACAUGGGGCGAUAGCUACUAACCGGUAUCUGGUACACAUUAAUCCUGGCUUAGAAGAUGGCUAUUCCGUCUGCUCUCAGACAGAACCAUCCACCAUCUUUUUGUUAAGUGCUCCAGAUUCCUUUCAGGACUGGGGAAAGUAGCGCUGAAAGACGUUCUGUGUUCAGUUAGAGACAUUGCUCUGGUUCGGAAUUUUUGACUUGUUCUUUCUUUUGUAUAUAUAUUGUGUUCUGUGGGAUUUAGUGUUUUUUAUCAUUUUUCUUUGAUAAACAGUAUCUCUUUCCCUCUUUCUCUGAGUGGAAGGAGUGCUGAGUGAAGGGAGCGUGAGAUGAAUUGUGGUUGUGUUUUUCUGUCAGUUAUCUUGUUUAGUUUCUGCAUCUAUGUGGUGUGUAUUGUGGUUUGAAUGUGUAGCGUGACUUUUUUUUUGUGGGUUAGUUUUUGCAUGUUUGCAGCCGAUCAGCAUGCUGCAUGAUGGACUGGCGCAGACGCGUGAAGCACAGCGUGAAGAACAACGUGAAGCACGGCAUGAAGCACGGCGUGAAGCUUGCGUGCUGGGUGGACGACUGCGGCAUGGCCGUGAGGGGAUUGGUGGGUGGAAUGUGCGUGGAAUGCUUAUGCCUGUUCUGCGUCUUGCCUUACUGGCGGACAGAGUGACAGUAUCAAACAUUCUGCCGUUUCUUCUCGACAAGGUUCUUUUUGAAGAGCUGGUGAAGAAUGGGAAAGUAUCCUCAGGAUGCAGGUCUCCUCUGCUGAGAUGUGGUAUCUCACAGGAGACUGCUCCACAUUGUCCUCACCAAGGCCCAUGGUUCUCAGCCUGGUGAUUAAGGUUUCCAUGGACGGUGGUUCUAUCUGAACUCUGGACAGAGAUUAGGAAGUCAGGUUCUCCACAUCAACAGUAAAAUGGUAUGAUGUUAAGCUCACAACUAUGUCUGCUGCCCCAAGUGUCCAAUAAAUAAAAGAUAUUAUGAUUAAUAUUAUUAAUAGGCUAAAUAAUAAUAACAAUUCAUUAUUACCAUUAAUUGUGGUAAAAAGAGUAUGCUAGAGUGUAUAUUUUGUUAAUUUGAUAAUGUUUUAGAAUGUUAGAAAUUUAUUUCAGUUUCAUUCAAUUCAAACAUAAAAUUUCAGAAUUUGAAAAGUAUUGUAGUACCACACAGCGGGUUAAUUUGUAGCCAUAAACCCAGAAUUGCGCAUGUAACGGUAUCAUUGUGCAUAAAACGCAUUAAAUAAAAAUGUUUUUGAUUGAUCCAUCCAUCCAUCUAUUGGAUGCUUUGCAAUACACCUUGCAUUGACUUGAAAUAGCUCUCUGCUUGGUAACUAAUGGGACCAUCGAAUUACUUUUUUUUGUCUUGCACUAAGGCAAGAUCUCGGAGGGACUUCCAGUUUCUAAUUAAUAAUUGGUAUAUGUGGCUGACGCUCUGUGAGAUUAUUUGAAGUCAUUAGAAAACACCCCCUUCCACUGAAUCUUCGGAGAGAAAGAAGGCGACUAGCUGUCCUACUGGGAUUUUAUCGACGCACCAAUAGUGUUUUGUUCAUGAAAUUUAAUUGCGGCAUCCACAAACUUGUUCCUGUGGGUAUUACAAAAUAAUGACUCUGUUCUAACAUGAAAUUAAAAGCAAAAAUGGUUUUUUUUUCCUUUGGGCUGGAAUCUUAAUGAAAAAUAUGAAUGCUGACACCCUAAUUCCUGUUGUUCUCGU